AGCGAACGCUGGCGGCAGGCCUAAACAUGCAAGUCGAACGCCGUAGCAAUACGGAGUGGCAGACGGGUGAGUAACACGUGGGAACAUACCCUUUGGUUCGGAACAACACAGGGAAACUUGUGCUAAUACCGGAUAAGCCCUUACGGGGAAGAUUUAUCGCCAAAGGAUUGGCCCGCGUCUGAUUAGCUAGUUGGUGGGUAACGGCCCGACCAAGGCUACGAUCAGUAGCUGGUCUGAGAGGAUGAUCAGCCACACUGGGACGUGAGACACGGCCCAGACUCCUACGGGAGGCAGCAGUUAGGAAUCUUGGACAAUAGGGCGGCAAGCCUGAUCCAGCCAUGCCGCGUGAGUGAUGAAGGCCUUAGGGUUG
rnacentral:rRNA from 1 species